UACGUAGGGGGCAAGCGUUGUCCGGAAUCAUUGGGCGUAAAGAGCGCGUAGGCGGCCCUGUAAGUCCUCUGUGAAAGUCAAGGGCUCAACCCUUGGAUGCCGGUGGAUACUGCAGGGCUAGAGUCCGGAAGAGGCGAGUGGAAUUCCUGGUGUAGCGGUGGAAUGCGCAGAUAUCAGGAGGAACACCAAUAGCGAAGGCAGCUCGCUGGGACGUUACUGACACUGAGGCGCGAAAGCGUGGGGAGCGAACAGG
rnacentral:rRNA from 1 species